UGGGAACGUACCCUUCAGUUCGGAAUAACCCAGGGAAACUUGGGCUAAUACCGGAUACGUCCUGCCCCUUUAACAAGGGUGGGAGAAAGAUUUAUUGCUGAAGGGUCGGCCCGCGUCGGAUUAGCUAGUUGGUGAGGUAACGGCCCACCAAGGCAACGAUCCGUAGCUGGUCUGAGAGGAUGGCCAGCCACAUUGGGACUGAGAUACGGCCCAGACUCCUACGGGAGGCAG
rnacentral:rRNA from 1 species